CAACAGGAAGUGUCCAGCUCCCCAGUUAAACAGGAAGCUGUGACUCUGUAUGAAAAAUUAAAUGAGCUGGGAGAGAAGAAACAAAGCUUGAUUGACGAGAUGGAGAAGGAGAACAGAGGAACUCCUGCAGAAGAAAGAGAAAGACUUCUGAAACAGGUGAAGGAAGAUAAUCAAGAGAUCGCCAGCAUGGAGCGCAAGACUGCUGAGUUUCGGGAGAAGAUUGAAACAGUCAAUGGUGAAAUUCAACAGCUAGACAUGGAUCUUGAAGAACAUCAAGGUGAACGAAACGUCAAGU